ACCAAGGCGAUCGAGUGAAUCGUGGUUAAGGAAUUCGGCAAAAUACCCCCGUAACUUCGGGAGAAGGGGGGCCCAGAGGGUGACGGGACUUGCUCCCCGAGCCGGAACGGCCGCAGAGACCAGGGAGAAGCGACUGUUUACUAAAAACACAGGUCCGUGCCAAGUCGCAAGACGAUGUAUACGGACUGACGCCUGCCCGGUGCUGGAACGUUAAGGGGACCGGUUAGCCUCACGGCGAAGCUGAGAACUUAAGCGCCAGUAAACGGCGGUGGUAACUAUAACCAUCCUAAGGUAGCGAAAUUCCUUGUCGGGUAAGUUCCGACCUGCACGAAUGGCGUAACGACUUCUCCACUGUCUCAACCACGAACUCGGCGAAAUUGCACUACGAGUAAAGAUGCUCGUUACGCGCAGAAGGACGGAAAGACUCCGGGACCUUUACUACAGCUUGGUAUUGGUGUUCGGUACGGCUUGUGUAGGAUAGGUGGGAGACUGUGAAGCUGACACGCCAGUGUCGGUGGAGUCAACGUUGAAAUACCACUCUGGUCGUUCUGGAUAUCUAACCUAGGUCCGUAAUCCGGAUCAGGGACAGUGCCUGGUGGGUAGUUUAACUGGGGCGGUUGCCUCCUAAAAGGUAACGGAGGCGCCCAAAGGUUCCCUCAGCCUGGUUGGCAAUCAGGUUUCGAGUGUAAGUGCACAAGGGAGCUUGACUGUGAGACUGACAAGUCGAACAGGGACGAAAGUCGGGACUAGUGAUCCGGCGGUGGCUUGUGGAAGCGCCGUCGCUCAACGGAUAAAAGGUACCCCGGGGAUAACAGGCUGAUCUUGCCCAAGAGUCCAUAUCGACGGCAUGGUUUGGCACCUCGAUGUCGGCUCGUCGCAUCCUGGGGCUGGAGUAGGUCCCAAGGGUUGGGCUGUUCGCCCAUUAAAGCGGUACGCGAGCUGGGUUUAGAACGUCGUGAGACAGUUCGGUCCCUAUCCUCUGCGCGCGCAGGAAACUUGAGAAGGGCUGUCCCUAGUACGAGAGGACCGGGAUGGACGAACCUCUGGUGUGUCAGUUGUUCUGCCAAGAGCACCGCUGAUUAGCUACGUUCGGGAGUGAUAACCGCUGAAAGCAUCUAAGCGGGAAGCAUGCUUCAAGAUGAGGUUUCCAUGGGGUUUACCCCGAGAGGCUCCCAGCUAGACUACUGGGUUGAUAGGCCGGAUGUGGAAGUGCGGUAACGCAUGGAGCUGACCGGUACUAAUAAGCCGAUAACUUGACUG
rnacentral:rRNA from 1 species